rnacentral:rRNA from 1 species
AUACGUAGGUGACAAGCGUUAUCCGGAUUUACUGGGCGUAAAGGGCGUGUAGGCGGUCUUGCAAGUCAGAAGUGAAAUUCCUGAGCUCAACUCGGGCGCUGCUUCUGAAACUGCAGGACUUGAGUGCUGGAGGGGAUAGCGGAAUUCCUAGUGGAGCGGUAAAAUGCGCAGAUAUUAGGAAGAACACCGGUGGCGAAGGCGGCUAUCUGGACAGUAACUGACGCUGAGGCGCGAAAGCGUGGGGAGCAAACAGGAUUAGAUGCCCUGGGAGUCCACGCCGUAAACGAUGAAUACUAGGUGUAGGGGGUAUCGACUCCCUCUGUGCCGCAGUUAACACAAUAAGUAUUCCGCCUGGGGAGUACGGCCGCAAGGUUGAAACUCAAAUGAAUUGGCGGGG